rnacentral:rRNA from 1 species
UACAGAGGUGGCAAGCGUUGUUCGGAAUUACUGGGCGUAAAGGGCGCGUAGGUGGUCUUCUAAGUCUUGUGUGAAAUCCCUCGGCUCAACUGAGGAACUGCACGGGAUACUGGAAGACUUGAGUUCGGGAGAGGGAAGCGGAAUUCCGGGUGUAGCGGUGAAAUGCGUAGAUAUCCGGAGGAAAGCCGGUGGCGAAGGCGGCUUCCUGGGGCGAUUACUGACGCUGAGGCGCGAAAGCUAGGGGAGCAAACGGG